rnacentral:tRNA from 1 species
GUGGCUAUAGCUUAGUGGGAGAGCACUUGGCCCACAAUCAAAAGGCCCUGGGUUCCAUUCCCAGCAUCCUACA